GUUUUAUUUUCUUUUUCUUUUUUGUUUGUUUGUUUUGUUUGAGACAGGGUCUCUCUCUGCCACCCAGGCUGGAGUGCAGUGGUGCCAUCUCAGCUCACGGCAGCCUCAACCUCCCCAGCUCAGGUGAUCCUCCUUCCUCAGCCUCUUGGGUACCUGGGACUGUAUGCACAUGCCACCACGUCUAGCUAUUUUUUUUUUUGUACUUUUUGAUACAGUCAGGGUUCAUCAUGUUGCCCACGCUGAUCUUAAACUCAACUCCUGGGCUCAAGCAGUCCACCUGCCUUGGCCUCCCAAAGUGCUGGGAUUACAGGUGUGAGACACUGCGCCCUGCCCAGUUUUCUGUUAGAUGAAUUAGGUAUAAGGAAAAUAAAAACAAACAAAAAACAGGAAUAAGGAAAAUAGCAGGUGUCUCACUCAUUUUGUAUGUUUCAAAUAAUUCUACCGUAAAACAUUAAAAAAAAUUCUUUUCGCUUAUUCUAGGCAGUGAUGACUUCUUAGGGAAUUCAGUCCCUCAACCUUUGCUCAGAUCCUACUUCACUUGGUGUACUUUGCAGGGGGACCUUUUAUGGGUCAGCAGGACACGAGGCUGGGAGAAGUGAUGGUGGACGAGGACGGCUGGGAGCAGGGACCCACCUUCCUGAUGUCAUGACUGUGCAAGCUGGGGCUGUUGGUGAGUGGGCUCGGGACAAGCAGAGAGGCACCCGGGUGCUCCCUAAACCUGGAGAUGAAGAACACAGAGGCCAAGGAGAGCACAGAAGUUUCCAGAUGCUGCAGGCAGCUUUUCUUGGGCUGGCAGCUGGCAUCUCACAGUCACUGACCUGCCUGGUUCCAGCCCCUGGCUCCCAGCUUUGCCCACGGGAGGAUUCACAGGCCGCUGGGCGCUGGGUGCCACCUGUGUCCACGGCUGCCCGCAUGAGCUCCAGGCGGAGCAGGGGGCCUAGAGCUGGCAUCCUCUGCGGUUAGUGAAGGGGCAGGGACUGCCCGCCUCCUCCUCGGAUGUCCAGGGCUGGACCCGAAGUGGCCUCAUUACUGGAGAUUAUGAAAAAAUGCUGCCACUUGCCACCAGUGUGCAGGAGGGAACGGACCACUGAUGUUCUCAGAGGCCCCAAGUGCUCACCCAGCCCCUCUUGGGCAGCAAGCCUUCAGCCCUCUUUGGGGGGCUCCGCUCACCCCUGGAGAGAGGCUCAAAGGCUAAGAUGCCUCCCGGCCUCAUGGUGGUGGAGUGGCCACAGGGGACUCCGGGAACACCAUCCACAUCGCAAGUCAAUCCCGAAUAAGUCAUGCGACUCCCCCAUGGUGCCUCCUGCAGGCCAGCUCUUCCAGUGUGGGGCUCCAGGGGCUACAGCUUCCCCUGCCACUGCUGGAACUGUGGCCCUCCCAUCCCAGCAGCCAGACCGGCUUUUCUCUCCCUUCUCCUCCCUGCAGGUGCUGUGCAGCCCCCCUCGCCUGGGGGCCAGGGUGUGGGGGACAUGAGAGGCCACCCAGAAUGCAUCCAUUUAAUAGAAG
rnacentral:lncRNA from 1 species